GUCUACGGCCAUACCACCCUGAACACACCUGAUCUUGGAAGCUAAACAGGGCCGGGCCUGGUUGGUACAUGUGUGGGAGGUCACAGUCCACAUAGAUUCAGUAGAGC
rnacentral:rRNA from 1 species